AGCUCCAAUAGCGUAUAUUUAAGUUGUUGCAGUUAAAAAGCUCGUAGUUGGAUUUCGGUUGAGAGCGGCCGGUCCGCCGUUUGGUGUGCACUGGCUGGUUUCAACUCCUGCGGAGGACGCGCUCUGGGCUUAACGGUCUGGACGUGGAGUCCGCGUGGUUACUUUGAGGAAAUUAGAGUGUUUCAAGCAGGCGUGCGCCU
rnacentral:rRNA from 1 species